GAUGAACGCUGGCGGCGUGCCUAAUACAUGCAAGUCGAGCGAACAGACGAGGAGCUUGCUCCUCUGACGUUAGCGGCGGACGGGUGAGUAACACGUGGAUACCCUACCUAUAAGACUGGGAUAACUUCGGGAAACCGGAUCUAAUACCGUAUAAUAUAUUGAACCGCAUGGUUCAAUAGUGAAAGACGGUUUUGCUGUCACUUAUAGAUGGAUCCGCGCCGCAUUAGCUAGUUGGUAAGGUAACGGCUUACCAAGGCGACGAUGCGUAGCCGACCUGAGAGGGGGAUAGGCCACCCUGGAACUGAGACACGGUCCAGACUCCUAAGGGAGGCAGCAGUAGGGAAUCUUACGCAAUGGGCGAAAGCCUGACGGAGCAACGCCGCGUGAGUGAUGAAGGUCUUCGGAUCGUAAAACUCUGUUAUUAGGGAAGAACAAAUGUGUAAGUAACUAUGCACGUCUUGACGGUACCUAAUCAGAAAGCCACGGCUAACUACGUG
rnacentral:rRNA from 1 species